GAGGACCGGAGUGGACGCAUCACUGGUGUUCGGGUUGUCAUGCCAAUGGCACUGCCCGGUAGCUAAAUGCGGAAGAGAUAAGUGCUGAAAGCAUCUAAGCACGAAACUUGCCCCGAGAUGAGUUCUCCCUGACUCCUUGAGAGUCCUGAAGGAACGUUGAAGACGACGACGUUGAUAGGCCGGGUGUGUAAGCGCAGCGAUGCGUUGAGCUAACCGGUACUAAUGAACCGUGAGGCUUAACCUU
rnacentral:rRNA from 2 species